CGAACCUUGGAAGAGAAACAAAAGCCUGCAAUAAGCUGUAUUCUCGCUUACCCUGUAGCAUGCUGACUGGGAACAAGGAGAGUUGCCACGCUGACAUAUACGGCCCAAAAUUGGGUUUGCCACGUACAGAGAUGUUAAAGGAAGCUUUUCACUGCUUCCCUCGCGGGCUGCCACUGCGCUGUGCCCUCCGUGAGCGCUCUGCCGCUUAUCGGCACGGGUAUAAAAAUGUCCUUUGGACAAGAGGCAGCACAGGUAAGCUCUGGAGAAAUCAAGGCAGGAAAAGCAGAUAAAAAGCUAGCAAUAUUUCUGUCACUAGCUCACAGACAGGUUUAUUCUAACAAUUUCCACCUUGGCGAGCUCCAGGUCGCUAAAACAGCAUCUGGAGCAACGAGGUAAGGUGCAUAAAAAGCUGACACAAAAUUCAGUGAUCUCACAGAAAUUCACAAACUUCCUCUACUUCUGUGCAUCGAGCGGAGAGCUCAUGCUCAGGCUGAGCUCUCUUCGGCUUCACUCACACUUGCUCAGUUCCAGUGCUAAAUCCUGCUAAAUAAUAAAGAAAAGGAAAUGCACAGCGUGUAAGAUAAAGACUGGGCAAUGCAAGGCUGCUCUUUUGAUGCAUGACCGUUCCCCCUUACCCUGGCAGGGAACGUUUGCCAUUUGUUUCAAUACAUCCGUGCCUGAUGUCACUUCAAAAGGAGCCGUGGAGGUGAGGGCAGUGUUCUCCCCGAGCAGGCAAAUAAAAGCGAGGGAAGCGCUGAGCCCACCAGCACUGCCUGCCCAGGCUGCGCGGUACCGCGGGGCUUGGGGGAACAGCUUGGAGAGCUCUCCUAAAGACCCCACUGAGGCGGUGUCACGUUCAGAGGAACAUCCUCGUUAUUCUCCUGCAGCAGCAGAAGCUGCAGGGGACCCGGGGGACGGACAGGGAGGGAGGGAGCAGAGCAUCCAGCGGCCUCCCGGACAUCUUCACCUACGGCAGCGGGCAGGAGGCCGAUGUUACCCGCUCCGUUUGUGCCGGGUGGUUUGCUGGGGGAUGGAUUUUUUUUCAUUUCUAUUUGUUUACUUAUUUAUUUUUCAGGAAGUAUUUAUCUUCUGACACUUUUCUCCUUGUUUUAUUUACAAACAAAAUCUCUCUGCUGAAAAAUCUCUUGCCCCCAGGAGAUCUCUUUGUGUUUUUUUUUUUUUUUGCUAGGAGAAAAAUUAAUGCAGAAAGUGCAGACGGAUGAGACUGCCUUUUCCCAUACCUGCCACUAAUUCAUAGGGCACAUUCCCCUUACCCUGUCAUAUUUUUUACCAGUGUUGUUUGCAAAGUGCUGUUCUCUCUGAUAGUACAUCUUAAAACAUCUGUUUUUAUCCCCUGAAGUUUCCCUCUUCAAUUUUGCAUCCCGAUUCUCUUAAAAAAACUGCAGCCAACUCUUCACACAACGCAUCUCCUUUCGGUAAGGUGCUCGCCUCUGUGCCUGCCUUCAGACUGGGAGCGAGACGUCUCCAUGCAGCGCGGGACACUCUGGAGGACAAAGCAAACCCAGCUCCUAGAUCUGUGCCCAGGCUGACCUACAUCACAAGGUGGGAGAGCUGCUUUUUAUUUUGGGGGAAACCCUGCUUCUCACACGACCUGGGGCUCUGUGCCACUGCAAACAUUUCACAGAGGAGCCACCAGAAGAAGAGAGACCACAGAAAGAUCCCAAACAAAAACCCCGAGGUGUUUUCCCAGCCACACUUCUACUGCCACGCAGAACAAGAGCUCUGCCUAGUCCCGCACUCUGCCUCCCUCUGCACGACGAGCAGCCCAGCUGCCUGGGGGACAGCAUAAAGCCAGGACGAGCUUGUGGAAGGAUGUUCCUCCAGGCUAUUUUUCAGCCUGAGAACUUACGGACCUAAAGGAAUGCUUCGUCUAAAUGCGUUACAGUCCCAGUGGCAGAGCAGGCCUUUGACAAGAACAUGAUGAACUAAGCACACUCUGCUGGCCCGAAUUUCGGGGGCUGCUUCAGCUCUGUGGCUUCCAUGACAUGGUCAGUGAUGGUCUCAAAGGACAGACUUGGCAUUGUACCCUGGCAGGACACUUAGCCUAGCUACAAAGGGGUCAUGGCAACUGUUCAUCUUGACUGUGUUUUCUGCCCUCCAAAGCACUCCGAAUGUCACAGUCACCAUCACCAUUGUGGUCAGUCCACGGAUAAUUUGGGCCUAAUGCAGCAUUUUCCUAUUUAAGCCUAAAACUGAAAUUUGAGUUACUGGGAGGGCUAUUCUAUUGAUCUGAUUUGAUUCCAAGCUUUCUUUAGCACAAGGCACCACUAUCGCACCACUACUUGACUUUGUCUUUUAUGAACAUUGUGUUCCUCAGUCGUACAGUGCUCCAUGACCCUCCCUCUUC